ensembl:lncRNA
UGACUAAAGAAAGACAUGCAGCAUAUUUGCUCCCAUCUGUCUUUCAAAUGAGACUGUCGUGAAGUGCGUGCUCAGUCAAGAAUGGGCAUGGCUCCUGUCUGGGCUCCUUCCAUCUUAACUCAUUACACCAUGGCUUGAUGGCAUGAGUAAUUGAGGAGCCAGUGCUGAAUGUAGCGUGUUCAGGGUUAAUCAUCCAACACGGUAGGCACAGCAUGUUGGGUGCGUGGGCGGUGCCCUUUAAAGAGUGAUGUCAUACAGGAAGUGGACAUAGUGAAAUGGGAUUGUGUUUGCUGAGCACUAUUCGUCCUCAUCCCAUUUUUUUUUGAAUUUUUUUUUUUUUGUGCUGACUGUUUGAACUGGAGGUGAUGUUUGUUGUCAUACCAGAACAGAAGCAGGACGUGGUGGUAGUUGUUGUGGUCGGGACACAGGUCAUCAAACACUGAACAACCUUUUGACAUUACUUCUGUACGUGACUAGGUAGUUCUGUUUUUCAGAAAUGUAUUUAUAUUUAUUUAUUUAUUUAUUUAUUUAUUUAUUUUAGCCACAAUGGCCUGCAGGCUGCUCUCCCUAGCACAUUGCCUGUAUAAGCUCAAGGAAAAACAGGUUAUAUAUUAUUGGUUUGUUUUUAUAUCUCUCAGAAGGAAACUGUCAAUCUGUCAAUCUUGUGUCAAACAGUACAGUAAUGUGCUGGCAUGGAUUAGUGACACGCUCUUCAGAGUUUAUUUAAAAAAAAAAAAAAAAAAAAAAGAAGAUAAAAGAAAAACAAAUCCUUAAGUGUUGUGACAGGCGUCCAUAACAUACACCCCCACGAUGACUGAAAAACAUAAACUAUGAACAAAGAAUGUUAAUUGGGUUGCGUUUGCCCCCCCCCCCCCCCCUUUCUAAAUAGGCCAUACAGGGCCUCUGGGGUGGAAGAGAGGAAGCUUGUCUUUGAACUGAAAGAGGUGCCAUUGUUACCAGGAAAACUCUUUGUUUUCAACAUCAGCAUUUGUCUCUGGGGGGGGGGGGGGCGGGGUGGCUUAUGGUGGGAAACCGUUCUAAUUCUCAACACAAACCGCUUGACAAGUAGCAAAAGAAUGAAGGCAUUGUUUUAUCCCCCCUUUCUGUAAAUGUUGGAUUAAACUUGUCAGUGGUUCCUCAUCAGCCUUCGUGUUUCCUGAACUGCUCGAUCGCAGGAUAGUGAUUGAGUUUCUGGCUCAUUCUCUGAGUUCGGUUAGUGAAGGCUUAUGGCUUGUGCUUCAGGCCUGUGUCAUUACUGAUGGCACUGACUUCUCAAGGGUCUGCUCUGUACAGGUCCUACAUAUAGCAAUGUGUAAGGCAUAAUACAUAUAGGUUUAAUUACAUAUAGCAAUGUGUGAGGCACAAUACAUAUAGGUUUAAUUACAUAUAGCAAUGUGUAAGGCAUAAUACAGUACUAUAGGUUUUGCGAGAAAUGACUGCUAUAAGAUACUAUUAAGGCUACAUAUUCGCUUGCCUUGUGUCUGAGAGAAAAAUGCCUGUGGUAUUGCUAGUGUAUACUCGUCUCUCUCUCCUCUCAGUCCCACUGCAGAACAUCUUUUUUUAAUAAAGCAAAGCAGUAUAUUGUGCAUCUGAGAUCAAAUUCAAAUCCUAUGGCCUACCAACAGUCUAAAUAAACUCAGAGCAGCAGACGACAGUCCUUUGAGCAUUCUAAUUUCUUAGAUCUGUGUUAAAUCACAUUCAAAUCGCCAUGUUGUAAUUAUCAUUCUCUAUUCUGUUAUCAGGGGCGCUUUGUUGAGUUUUGCUCUUGUAUGCUAAUAUAUGAACAUGAUGGGAACAGCAAACGGUUUCCUUCCCCCUUUGGGAUGUAAAUUAAUUAAGUCAUGCCUGAUGUUUGCUGUAGUAAAAACCAAGGCUGUUUCUGAAGGUAAACAUGCUUUUCCCCAUAAUCUUCCAUCUUUUCUCAAAGGCACUUGUAGACGCACAGUUCCGUUAAGGAGUUAGGGUUCUGUAUGGCUGGAGUUAGGGUUCUGUAUGGAUGGAGUUAGGGUUCUGUAUGGAUGGAGUUAGGGUUCCGUAUGGAUGGAGUUAGGGUUCCGUAUGGAUGGAGUUAGGGUUCCGUAUGGAUGGAGUUAGGGUUCUGUAUGGAUGGAGUUAGGGUUCCGUAUGGAUGGAGUUAGGGUUCUGUAUGGAUGGAGUUAGGGUUCUGUAUGGAUGGAGUUAGGGUUCCGUAUGGAUUGAGUUAGGGUUCUGUAUGGAUGGAGUUAGGGUUCUGUAUGGAUGGAGUUAGGGUUCUGUAUGGAUGGAGUUAGGGUUCCGUAUGGAUGGAGUUAGGGUUCUGUAUGGAUGGAGGACCCAACGGUUCACCCAGAUUGGGUCGUUUGUCGUUUUAUGGCACAUUGAUAGGCUCUUUUAUGAGCAUCAUGGGUCAGACUAUAAAGCGAUAGACACCCAGAGGAAAAGCACAGGCAGUGGCUGCACACAGACGUUGGGCCUGGCCUGUUUCCCCCCCCCCAGUCUGGCUCAUGUCCAGGUUAAACUGUAACAUUGCCUUGUUAAUUAUCCAUGGGUGGAGGAGUUGCAUCCAGCGCCGGGUGUAAUUUUCAUUCAGCCAUCAGACACAGCCUGUAAACAUGUCUGCUGCUCAGACUCUCGCCAAGCUCCUGACACAAAACACAGCUCGCUGUUUGCCCUUUCCUUGUUUUCUUUAAAAAAUGACAUUUUGUCACGUUGAUAAUAUUUCUGCAUCUUCACAAAACCAUGUUUGAUCUUGUUUUAAGAAAAAAUCUUUUAAUCUUUCAAGAGGGUAUAGUGUCAUGCAGCCAGCCAAUAGGCUAUUGCACUACAUGACUGUAAAGUAAGGAAAGAUGCAUAUUCUAGGCCUGCAUAUUCAAACAGAACAGACUGACAGUGGUGUGGCUAAUGUCAAGAUGUGGGUAGGUUUUUUAAAGAGGAAAGCCAAUCUGUUGACUGUAAUAAUAAUAAUAAUAAUAAUAAUAAUAAUAAUAAUAAUAAUAAUAAUAACUGUAGGCUCCCACAGUAAUUCAGUAUCAGAAUUUAAACGAGGUGUCUGCAGACAUGUUAGGCAAGAAGGCUAGUUGAUAAAUGUAUCAUGUGAAUUAUUGGUAUGCUACAGUAGUCUCAAGAAGCUGGACCAAUGAGCUUGGCUUCUGUGAAUUACAAGGUUGAAAAUGCUGAAAUUAUGUUUUUGCAACAUAUUAAAUUAUGGGAUGGGCUGUGGACCAACAACCCUUGAAAUCUCUUAUUAGUCAGUGAUGGGU